rnacentral:rRNA from 1 species
GGGUUGUGAGGUUAAGCGACUAAGCGUACACGGUGGAUGCCCUGGCAGUCAGAGGCGAUGAAGGGCGUGCUAAUCUGCGAUAAGCGCCGGUAAGGUGAUAUGAACCGUUAUAACCGGCGAUACCCGAAUGGGGAAACCCAGUGUGACUCGUCACACUAUCAUUAACUGAAUCCAUAGGUUAAUGAGGCGAACCGGGGGAACUGAAACAUCUAAGUACCCCGAGGAAAAGAAAUCAACCGAGAUUCCCCCAGUAGCGGCGAGCGAACGGGGAGGAGCCCAGAGCCUGAAUCAGCAUGUGUGUUAGUGGAAGCGUCUGGAAAGGCGCGCGAUACAGGGUGACAGCCCCGUACACAAAAGCGCAUGUGCUGUGAGCUCGAUGAGUAGGGCGGGACACGUGGUAUCCUGUCUGAAUAUGGGGGGACCAUCCUCCAAGGCUAAAUACUCCUGACUGACCGAUAGUGAACCAGUACCGUGAGGGAAAGGCGAAAAGAACCCCGGCGAGGGGAGUGAAAAAGAACCUGAAACCGUGUACGUACAAGCAGUGGGAGCCCCACCACUAAGCCAGUGGUGAACUCACAUACGCAUCCUUUGCUGAAGGUGCGGUUAACGGAGCGCAAGCGACGUUCAACCUCAAAAGAAGCAGAGGGGGCUUAGUGGUGGGGUGACUGCGUACCUUUUGUAUAAUGGGUCAGCGACUUAUAUUCUGUAGCAAGGUUAACCGAAUAGGGGAGCCGGAGGGAAACCGAGUCUUAAUUGGGCGUUAAGUUGCAGGGUAUAGACCCGAAACCCGGUGAUCUAGCCAUGGGCAGGUUGAAGGUUGGGUAACACUAACUGGAGGACCGAACCGACUAAUGUUGAAAAAUUAGCGGAUGACCUGUGGCUGGGGGUGAAAGGCCAAUCAAACCGGGAGAUAGCUGGUUCUCCCCGAAAGCUAUUUAGGUAGCGCCUCGUGAAUUCAUCUCCGGGGGUAGAGCACUGUUUCGGCUAGGGGGUCAUCCCGACUUACCAACCCGAUGCAAACUGCGAAUACCGGAGAAUGUUAUCACGGGAGACACACGGCGGGUGCUAACGUCCGUCGUGAAGAGGGAAACAACCCAGACCGCCAGCUAAGGUCCCAAAGUCAUGGUUAAGUGGGAAACGAUGUGGGAAGGCCCAGACAGCCAGGAUGUUGGCUUAGAAGCAGCCAUCAUUUAAAGAAAGCGUAAUAGCUCACUGGUCGAGUCGGCCUGCGCGGAAGAUGUAACGGGGCUAAACCAUGCACCGAAGCUGCGGCAGCGAACGUAUCACUUAAAGCGAUUCAGCGGGUUACGAUUGACGGAGCGAAGCGACGUCAAAGCGUAUACAAAGUCGAG